rnacentral:rRNA from 1 species
UAGGGAAUCUUCGGCAAUGGGGGGAACCUCUGACCGAGCAACGCCGCGUGAGUGAAGAAGGUUUUCGGAUCGUAAAGCUCUGUUGUUAAGGAAGAACGAGUGUGAGAAUGGAAAGUUCAUACUGUGACGGUACUUAACCAGAAAGGGACGGCUAACUACGUGCCAGCAGCCGCGGUAAUACGUAGGUCCCGAGCGUUGUCCGGAUUUAUUGGGCGUAAAGCGAGCGCAGGCGGUUAGAUAAGUCUGAAGUUAAAGGCAGUGGCUCAACCAUUGUAGGCUUUGGAAACUGUUUAACUUGAGUGCAGAAGGGGAGAGUGGAAUUCCAUGUGUAGCGGUGAAAUGCGUAGAUAUAUGGAGGAACACCGGUGGCGAAAGCGGCUCUCUGGUCUGUAACUGACGCUGAGGCUCGAAAGCGUGGGGAGCGAACAGGAUUAGAUACCCUGGUAGUCCACGCCGUAAACGAUGAGUGCUAGGUGUUAGGUCCUUUCCGGGACUUAGUGCCGCAGCUAACGCAUUAAGCACUCCGCCUGGGGAGUACGACCGCAAGGUUG